rnacentral:tRNA from 2 species
GCGGGUGUAGUUCAUCGGUAGAACGUGACCUUCCCAAGGUCGAGAGGCGGGUUCGACUCCCGUCACCCGCUCCA